rnacentral:rRNA from 1 species
AGCGAACGUUUGCGGCGGGCCUAACACAUGCAAGUCGAACGCACUAGCAAUAGUGAGUGGCGCACGGGUGCGUAACACGUGGGUAAUCAACCCUUCAGCUUGGGAUAACGACUUGAAAGGGUCGCUAAUACCGGAUACGGCGAGAGAGGCUUCGGCAUUUCUCGAGAAAGCCUCGCAAGGGGCACUGAAGGACGAGCCUGCGGCCCAUCAGCUAGUUGGUGAGGUAAGAGCUCACCAAGGCGAAGACGGGUAGCUGGUCUGAGAGGAUGAUCAGCCACACUGGAACUGAGACACGGUCCAGACUCCUACAGGAGGCAGCAGUGGGGAAUAUUGCGCAAUGGGCGAAAGCCUGACGCAGCCACGCCGCGUGAGCGAUGAAGGCCUUCGGGUCGUAAAGCUCUGUGGGGA